rnacentral:sRNA from 1 species
AGACCCCGCCCCGUCAGGGCCCUCCCGGCCUUGCCCAGCCCUGCCUCGCCGGCGGCGGCCGCCGUGUCAGGUGACAGCCCGGAAGCUGCGGAAGCGGAUGAGGGAAGGGCGGCUGUGGCCCUGGGGGCGGCGGGAGCUGCUUUGCCUCCACCGAUCUCCCUGUGCGGCCCUCAUGUGCUGUGCUCGCUGACACCCGAAGUCCGCGGCUUUCCGCACACGGUGGGGUCGUCAGACCCGCUGCCCUUGGCGGUCGAAGUCGUCGUGCGGGCCCGCGGCGGCCGCCCAUGGAGAAGGCCAGGAGAGGCGGGGAUGGCGUCCCCCGGGGGCCCGUACUGCACAUCGUGGUGGUCGGAUUUCACCACAAGAAGGGCUGCCAGCCUCUGUAUGGUUUACUUCAAGCAAAACUUCAACUCAUUACACAUGCAUAUUUUGAAGAGAAGGAUUUUUCCCAAAUUUCUAUUCUAAAGGAGCUUUAUGAACAUAUGAAUA